rnacentral:lncRNA from 1 species
CCUGGCCUAAAAGGCCAUGUGAGCUUUUCUCAUCACUUGGCGUCCGUCGUCGUCGUCGUCGUCGUCUGUCGUCGUUAACAAUUUUUCAAACAUCUUCUCCUCUGAAACUACUGAAUGGAUUUGAAUGAAACUUAAAAUGAUUGUUCCUUAGAUUAUCCUGCACAAAGUGUGUGCUUCGAUUUUUGAUCCGUCAAAAAACAUGGCCGCCGUUACUUAAAAUAGAACAUAGGGGUCAAAUGCAGUUUUUGGCUUAUAUCUCAAAAACAGAAGCAUUUAGAGCAAAUCUGACAUGGGGUAAAAUGUUCAUUAGGUCAAGAUCUAUCAGCCCAGAAAUUUUCAGAUGAAUCAAACAAACCAUUGUUGGGUUGCUGCCACUUAAUUGGUAAUUUUAAGGAAAUUUUGCAGUUUUUGGUCAUUAUCUUGAAUAUUAUUAUAGAUGAAGAUAAACUGUAAACAGCAAAAAUGAUCAGCA